UCUUCGGUACUGCAAACUUAACCGCUAAUGGCGCUGUGGGUGGAGAAACGUUUGUUAGGUAGCGUUAUAUAUUGUUAUCUGGUGUUCCCUAUACCGAAAACGGCGGGAGGUACCCAGACCAGGUGUCCACUUUGCAUGUUGCUUGAAAAUUGCAAUUCAUUCCUUUACAUUGACAUUUAAACCAGUGAUUCUAAGGCAGAGUUGGGGCGGAGGGAGGAGAAUUUUGAACAAGCGGAGCCAAUUUUCCUCUCAUUUCUAAUUACAGGCAACAACAGAAUUCUGCGAAACUUGGUUAGUUGGAGGAGUACACCAAAAAUAAAGUACCGGAGCCAGCACGGCUUCAAAAAAAUUAGGAUCAGUACCGCUAGCAGCGAACGCAUAAGAAGGGCUUCCUGUAUGCCUACGUAUCUUGUUUAAGUCUAAAGACAUGUACUCUGUUUAUCCCCUUUUUUUGAGACGAGGAAAUAGACCCAACAUGCCCGAGAUCACACAUUUUACAAGGAAGAGGGGUGAAAGUCACAGAAGAGACUGGAAAGGGAGGAAGAAAAGAAAAACAUUUUUCUCUUUGCUUCCAUGAAGCCACAGAGUGCUUUGAAUAGUGCCUGGCAUAAAGCUUGUUACAUCAUGGUUGCAGGAUGGCUGCUACAGCUCUGGACAUCACAUCAAAAUAUGGCAGAAGCUAAAGCAGGAAGACAGAGAAGGAGGCAAGACAGCUUUAUUCACUUGUGGCUCUCAUAUGAAAAAUAAAGAUAUUUCUCGAAA